UGGAGCACAAUUUGAAAUAGGACUUGGCAAUUUUUCACCCGGAAUUAAGAGCUUGUUACUCAAUAUAUGCCUUUGUCACCAAUCUAGUUCCUUUUCCUUUGCCAUUUUCUAUUUUUUCUGUUAAUCUACUCUGUCCACAUCUUUCUACCACCUUUUUCUGUGCAGGACCUGUGGAUUCCCGUGGUCAUGCUUAGCUCCAUUUGUAAAAUUAAGAGCUAAAGUGGCUGCUGACUCCUCAAGAACAUCAGAGAAAAUCUUGUUUUUUUUAAUCAAACAAAAGAGAGAACAUUCAUCUUUGGAGACUAUGUCAACAGGCAGGCUAUAUCUUUAGGGAUUUUAUAUGUUAUAUAUUAAUAUAUAUAUUCAUACAAAUGAAAUACACAUACAAAUACAUAUGAAACACUUCCAAAAAGUUUUACAUUGAGAAGACUGUUAGUCACAAGUUAUUUCCUAUUUUGGAAUUUUAUGACUUCUGUUACUUUUACUCUGAACUCUUCUUUUUGAAAUACAGCUAACUCCUUCAAUGUGUCUGUUUUGUCCAUAGCAGGCUCAGCUGAGUAAGAUCAGUUAACAUUGUUUUAUUUCUGUCUGCACCUGCUGACCAUGCUAAAAACCCAUACUGGUAGCGA